ACGAACGUUGGCGGCGUGCUUAAUACAUGCAAGUCGAGCGAGAAACACCCUUCGGGGUGGAGUAAAGCGGCGCACGGGUGAGUAAUACCUGAACAAUCUGCCUUCGAGACUGGGAUAACCCAGGGAAACUUGGACUAAUACCGGAUGGCAUCCUGGAGGCGCAUGUCUCUUGGAUUAAAGCGUGUCGAGAGAUACGUGCUCGAUGAAGGGUUCAGGGCCUAUCAGCUAGUUGGCGGGGUAACGGCCCACCAAGGCGAUGACGGGUAGCCGGACUGAGAGGUUGAUCGGCCACAUGGGAACUGAGACACGGUCCCAACACCUGCGGGUGGCAGCAGUAGGGAAUAUUGCGCAAUGGGCGAAAGCCUGACGCAGCGACGCCGCGUGGAGGACGAAGGCCCUUGGGUUGUAAACUCCUUUUCUGUGGGAAGAACGCUGACGGUACCACAGGAAUAAGCACCGGCUAACUUCGU
rnacentral:rRNA from 1 species